rnacentral:sRNA from 1 species
CUGCGCCCACUGUCUGGCACUCCCUAGUGAGAUGAACCCGGUACCUCAGAUGGAAAUGCAGAAAUCACCCAUCUUCUGCGUCGCUCACGCUGGGAGCUGUAGACUGGAGCUGUUCCUAUUCGGCCAUCUUGGCUCCUCCAGAAUAAACCUAUUUUUUGAGAUCUGUUUUUAAGCCUUUCAUAUUUGUGCCACAUAUUUCACAACUAUUGGAUACCAGUUCACCAACAUUUGAACUUGAAGAUCUAGUUAAAAAGAAAUCACAUUUUAAGCCUGACAGAAGACACCCACUCUACCAAAAACAUCAACAGGCAUUGGAAGUAGUAAAUAAUAAUGAGGAAAAAGCCAAAAUAAUGUUGGACAACAUGAGGAAACUGGAGAAAGAACUAUUCAGAGAGAUGGAAUCAAUCCUUCAAAACAAGCAUCUUGAUGUGGAGAAAAUUGUUAAUCUCUUUCCUCAGUGCACAAAAGAUGAAAUUCAAAUUUAUCAGUCAAAUUUAUCAGUCAAAGUUAGUUCUUAGUGAUCAUAUGGUCAGCUAAUAUUAGUUCUUAGUGAUCAGUGGUCAGUAAUCUUCAAAGUCAGAAUCUAUCACCUUGGUAAAUUAUAUAAACCUAACUUGAGCAGAUCUGAUUAUUCUUGGAUAGUAUUCAAGUGGUAUCU